rnacentral:rRNA from 1 species
GACGAAGGAUGCAAGCGUUAUCCGGAUUCAUUGGGUUUAAAGGGAGCGUAGGCGGCCUUGUAAGUCAGUGGUGAAAUCUCUCGGCUUAACCGAGAAAUUGCCAUUGAUACUGCAGGGCUUGAGCACAGUUGCCGUUGGCGGAAUAUGACAUGUAGUGGUGAAAUACAUAGAGAUGUCAUAGAACACCGAUUGCGAAGGCAGCUAACGAAACUGUAACUGACGCUGAGGCUCGAAAGUGCGGGGAUCAAACAGG